CCUUCUUUCUCAGUGUUGUAUCACAGCCCAUGCCAUGGUGAUGGGGUGUGGUAUGGCUCAGUACAGCCCCAGCCAUGGUGAUGGGUGUAGUCUGCAGAUGAAAAUGAGGUCCCCAGUCAAGUUAAAGUGAGGCAAAAAGAGUAAAGACUUUGACUCUCCAGCCCCAACCUCUAAGCCUGUGAGGGACCCUCUCCUCCAGCUGAUCUCCCUUCAGAAGGCCUCUGGUUCCUGGGUCCUGGAGGCCGGUUGGCUGAGGUGCUGGCGAAGAACUGAGGAGGAGGUGUCCAAGCCAAAGCCUGCACAGGUGGACCAGGAGGUGUGGGCCACGGUUCUAGCCCUGGUAUGGCUCUAUGGUUUCAAGAUGGAGGCUCAGGAGGAGUGGCAGUUUCUGGCCAUGAAGGCAGUAUCAUGGAUCCAGGAUCAGAAAGCGACCAGUGUGUCCGAGUGUGUCCAGGCUGGAAAUAACCUUCUGGGUUGCCAAGUGCAGAAAGACACCCUGGGGCUCUGACAUGUUCACCCUCCCAGUCCUCUCUCUGUCCCCCAUACACCUGCUACUCUACCUGGGGUGAGAUAUACACGCAACCCUGCCUGCUCCUAGUCCCCUCCUCCAAGCAAACUGGUGGAGCUAGCAACUGUACUCGCCUGAACAAGCCUAAUUAUCAACCUCUUACCUAUAUUAGCCUAUUGUCAUUUACUGUUGGGACACUUAUGUAUCUCAAUGUAUUGGUUGUUAUUAACAUAUCAACAUUCAUCUACGUGUUACAUAUACAGCUGUACUUGUUAGACUUUGCUUUGGUUAUCAAUUCCAUAUAGACUACUGGAAACAAUGUGUAUGCAGUACUUGUCAUCACUAACCAAAAUGCUUGAUAAAAGGCCUUAUUAUUGUAUGUAUGCAUUAUCCACAUAUAUGAGGCCAAAUGCAUGCAGGGAGAAGUUGUGGAUAAUAUGAAAAGCCAAAUGAGUGCCUAUCCGGGUGCCUUUACUGUGUGAUCAUGUAACACUGUCUCUGUAUUCAUGUAAUUCCUCAUAUACACUACCGUUCAAAAGUU